rnacentral:misc_RNA from 1 species
UGAUGACAGCUGAGACAGACA